CCUCGGAUCAGGUAGGGAUACCCGCUGAACUUAAGCAUAUCAAUAAGCGGAGGAAAAGAAACCAACAGGGAUUGCCUCAGUAACGGCGAGUGAAGCGGCAACAGCUCAAAUUUGAAAUCUGGCGCAAGCCCGAGUUGUAAUUUGUAGAGGAUGCUUCAGGGCAGCGGCCGGUCUAAGUUCCUUGGAACAGGACGUCAUAGAGGGUGAGAAUCCCGUAUGCGACCGGUUGGCACCCGUCACGUAGCUCCUUCGACGAGUCGAGUUGUUUGGGAAUGCAGCUCUAAAUGGGAGGUAAAUUUCUUCUAAAGCUAAAUACCGGCCAGAGACCGAUAGCGCACAAGUAGAGUGAUCGAAAGAUGAAAAGCACUUUGGAAAGAGAGUUAAAAAGCACGUGAAAUUGUUGAAAGGGAAGCGCAUGCAACCAGACUUGUCGGCGGUGUUCCGCCGGUCUUCUGACCGGUCUACUCGCCGCCGGCAGGCCAGCAUCAUCUGGGCGCGCCGGACAAAGGCGUGGGGAAUGUGGCUCCUCGGAGUGUUAUAGCCCCGCGCACAAUACGGCGCCGCUCGGGUGAGGUCCGCGCUUCGGCUAGGAUGCUGGCGUAAUGGUUGUAUGCGGCCCGUCUUGAAACACGGACCAAGGAGUCUAACAUCUAUGCGAGUGUUCGGGUGUCAAACCCCUACGCGUAAUGAAAGUGAACGGAGGUGGGAAGCGCAAGCUGCACCAUCGACCGAUCCUGAUGUCUUCGGAUGGAUUUGAGUAAGAGCAUAGCUGUUGGGACCCGAAAGAUGGUGAACUAUGCCUGAAUAGGGUGAAGCCAGAGGAAACUCUGGUGGAGGCUCGCAGCGGUUCUGACGUGCAAAUCGAUCGUCAAAUUUGGGUAUAGGGGCGAAAGACUAAUCG
rnacentral:rRNA from 1 species